rnacentral:sRNA from 1 species
GGAACAGGGAGCAUGGCAAAGCAUUACAAUUUUAGAUAGGGUAACCAGGGAAGGCCUCCCUGGAGUGUCACUGAGCAAAGACCUUAUCUGAUAUGGCUUCAUAGGCUUGUGUUCCCCCUCUCUUGAAGAUUCCAUGUUUGUCCUUUCCAAAGCUGUAUACUUGAUAUAAGUUGAAACACUGUUUAGAUAAUGUUUUCCUCUAUUGAAGGGUCUGUGGGUAGCCCUAAUUGCUUGAUAGAACCUCCAAAUAAGUUCUCAAGAAUCACUUAUAACAGAUAGUGAGGUUGUCAAAACUCAAGUUAAAAUGUUUGAUUCUGCUUAAGACCAGGUUUCAAA